AUGUUCCCUAUGGUAACUGGGUUCAUGAGUUAUGGUCAACAAACAAUACGUGCUACAAGGUACAUAGGUCAAAGUUUCAUAACUACCUUAUCCCACAGAAUAGCAAGUUCUAAAUUCUGUCUCGGUAGGACAUGGAUUUCUAUUAAUAUGAAAUUCAUAAAUGAAAAUGAAGUAGUUAAUGGGAGGGCUACCGUUAUCCUUUUUCUUGUAUGUGUUCCUAAGAGAAGUAAUUGUCAUGUGCAUUCUUCGCUUAUAAAUUUAGCCAAGAUCCAAACAUCUCAAUCUCUUCAUACGUUCUUCCUGUUGAACUCUUCUUUUCGCUCAACAAAUGCGCUGUGGGAUAGAGAUCUGCGGUAA
rnacentral:rRNA from 1 species